AGUGAACGCUGGCGGUAGGCCUAACACAUGCAAGUCGAACGGCAGCACAGUAAGAGCUUGCUCUUACGGGUGGCGAGUGGCGGACGGGUGAGGAAUACAUCGGAAUCUACUUUUUCGUGGGGGAUAACGUAGGGAAACUUACGCUAAUACCGCAUACGACCUACGGGUGAAAGCAGGGGAUCUUCGGACCUUGCGCGAUUGAAUGAGCCGAUGUCGGAUUAGCUAGUUGGCGGGGUAAAGGCCCACCAAGGCGACGAUCCGUAGCUCGUCUGGGAGGAUGAUCAGCCACACUGGAACUGAGACACGGUCCAGACUCCUACGGGAGGCAGCAGUGGGGAAUAUGGGACAAUGGGCGCAAGCCUGAUCCAGCCAUACCGAGUGGGUGAAGAAGGCCUUCGGGUUGUAAAGCCCUUUUGUUGGGAAAGAAAAGCAGCAGGUUAAUACCACGCUGUUCUGACGGUACCCAAAGAAUAAGCACCGGCUAACUUCGUG
rnacentral:rRNA from 1 species